GACGAACGCUGGCGGCGUGCUUAACACAUGCAAGUCGAACGGAAAGGCCCUGCUUGCAGGGUACUCGAGUGGCGAACGGGUGAGUAACACGUGGGUGAUCUGCCCUGCACUUCGGGAUAAGCCUGGGAAACUGGGUCUAAUACCGGAUAGGAGCCAUUUUUAGUGUGAUGGUUGGAAAGUUUUUUCGGUGUAGGAUGAGCUCGCGGCCUAUCAGCUUGUUGGUGGGGUAAUGGCCUACCAAGGCGGCGACGGGUAGCCGGCCUGAGAGGGUGGACGGCCAAAUGGGGAAGGGGAUACGGCCCAGACCCCUCCGGGGGGAAGAAGGGGGGAAUUUUGCAAAAGGGGCGGAAGCCUGAUGCAGCGACGCCGGGGGGGGGAUGACGGCCUUCGGGUUGUAAACUCCUUUCGCUAGGGAAGAAGCUUUUUGUGACGGUACCAAGAUAAGAAGCACCGGCUAACUACGU
rnacentral:rRNA from 1 species